rnacentral:misc_RNA from 1 species
CAUUGUUCCCUUUCCAUCUUCUCCCUCCUCAAUCCUUACCCAUUCAAAUACACCCCCUAUCCUAACUCCAAGCCGGUCACCAACAGCUUAGCUCUCCCUUCCCCAACCCCACCCUACCCCUAACCCUAGUAUCUUGUCAAACCUCACACCAGUCAAUUCCACGAGCUCUCAUAAUUUAAUAAAUUUAAGAAUUUCGAUUACAUAAAUCAACCCUUAAUUUUUAUCAAAAAAUGUCCAGUAGCACCCUCAAUUAUCUCAACGUUUAUUUUAAUUUUGAUCUGACUAAAAUCACAAAAUUUAUCAAAUUUCCCUUUUAAAAGUUGAGGUGUGAGAUGAGAUAUUUUUAAAUAUUAGGGUGCUAAUACACUUUUGAGGUAAACAUCAAUGAUUAAUAUGUUUUCCCCUUUUUACAUUUGUAAAGACUGUGUUGGGUAAAAAGUAAUUGAGUGAGG